AAAUAGUAUUACAAAACCCCAACCACUUGGCUGGGCUUGACUGACUAACCAGCUAAAAUUCACUCAGAAGACAGACCCUCCCAAGUGAAUUCAGUGGACCUUACUCCCAGGUAAGUGGGUAUAGAAUUGAAGUUUAAAGGUUGCAGUCCUGAUCUCUGGAAAUUUUACACAGCCACUGUAGAGUAUUAUUGUUUUGUGGUUAAUUGUGUCUUCAUGAAAAAGAACACAUGAACUUUGUUCUCAGGCUUAUCUUUAAAUUAGCUUGGGUUAAGUCAGCAGAGAUAUAAUUAAUUUGCUUAAAAUCAUUAGAUAUAUCAGUUUUAUCAACUAGAGUUGCAGUGAACUAGAAAGUUUGAAAAUAAACAAGACAGGAGAAAGAGGAAUGAAAGAAGAUUUCAGAUAAGACAGAAGGAGUAUGCACAUUGGUCCUAAGUAAUCUUCUGAUUUUUUUUUGUUCCUAUGUUUUCUUAUGCUCUUGCAUUCUAGGGCAAGAUUAAUUGAGAUUAAUUAGUGGGAUAGAAGCUAUUGUGAACUUAUUGCAUGCUUCUAAAGUUUACAUUUGUUUAUCGAGCACAAUUUUGUUAGCAUCAGGUGCUGAAGUUCCAGACAUCAGCACCAGCAUAGAAAUUACUUUAUUUAGUUCCCACUUGUAAGUUUCUAUAGCAACUGCAUCGUAUAGCAGGAAGCUAAUAUUCUAGCAUAUGACUUGAGCCUCAACUUGAGAUUUUAUUGCUAUAAUUUGGACACACACACAGCAUCGUACUGCCCCUGGACCUAUUUGCAGUCUACCUGCUUAAUCUCAUUAUUAAAUGUAUCAUUUGAAGUGAUACAAUCUUUGGCUUCAACAGCAAAUAAUUUGUCUGGGUUUAAUGGCAUCCCCAGCUCCCUCAGUCCCUUUGAAAGCAGUUCAUCAAGACAAGAGUCAGAUUGCUGGCCAUGGUGCUGAUGGGUUCCUCUUGACUUUUCAGAUCCUGGUUCACUGCAUCAGGGCACCUCAAUAUGUCUUUAGGAGAUGGGAAUAAUUUGGUAACUUUUACAAACCAAGUAAAUGCAGAAGUAAAGCUGCAAGGCACUGGUCAAUGAUACUAGUCAAGACUAGCUUCUGUCUUUGGCAUUUGGCUCAUGAAAUGAAAUGAUAUGAUGAAAUGGCCUUGCUAAUUGUGCUUUGCCAUUGGUCUUGAAAUGAAAACACACACCCUAAAUCAUUGUGCAUUAGUGGGACAUCUGAUUUAGAUACUGCACCUAAAUGAUUCAAAUCAGAGCUCAGGGAGCAAAUUUCAGCACCAUGUGACUGAACUACAUAGGUGCCUGAAAGAAAUACAGUGGUACCUCCAGUUGUGAACGGGAUCCGUUCCGGAGCUCCAGUUGGAUCCUGAGGUUUCCACAACUGGAAGGACCACUUCUGCGCAUGCACAUGUGGUGAAACCUGGAAAAAUACUUCUGGGUUUGCCACGUUUACAUCCUGAAGGAUAAGCAACUGGAGGUUUGUGUAUCCAGAGGUACCACUGUAUUUGGAUAGCAUCGGAUUCAGAAUUGAAAGAAUGCCUAGAGUAGGGAUGCCCCUGAGCCAGGGGCUUCAUAAAAAGUCCACCUCAAAGGGAGCUGUGAGCUGCGAGCUAUAAAAGAUAACAAUUAUUUUCUUGCUCAGAUUAUAAUCCAAGAGGGGUUUGCCCAGCUGGCAAAUCUUUUGCAUGGUCUGAGCUAAACCUUUGCCAGGGAUCUUUGGGGCUUUGGUGGUCUAAAUUGCCUUGGUUUCAUAUGCCAAAGUCCCCAAGGCCUAUUAAAAUUAACCCCAUACUAGGUAAUCAGACUUAGUCCAUCUUGAAGGACUCACUCUUGGCUCCUAUGGCCAGAAUAGUUUUCCCUGGAUCAGAAAAAUUAUAGAAGUUCUCCCAAUUUGGGGUGUUUGUCAAUAUCUGCAUCAGAUACAGUAGACAACAAUAGAUGGGGACUCUCAAUCUCGGGGACAGCAAAAGAUGGUCCUCUAGGAUUCUCUGUAUGGCCUUCAGGAUUCACACAACCUCUCCAGGCUACAACUUUCCUCCCAGGCUGCAUCUCCCAUCAGCUCUGCUGUGUGCCUUCCUGGUAUGCUUUUGGAAUGCAUUCUUUACUGUAAUAAAGCUUUUUGCUGUGUGUGCAUAUGUGUAGAAGCUUCUUGAUUUUGUGUAACUGGAAAGUAGCCUACUUCAUAAAGGUAAGCAGCUACCUCUGGCCAUGUCCAUUCUUGUCUCUGGUCAUGCCCACGACUGGCAUGCAUCACCUUUCGGACUGUGGCCCUCAAACUGAAAGAGGUUUCCCACACCUGUUGGAGAAGAUGGAAUAUAGCACAGAUAUUCUCUUGUAGAUGUAGGCAUGAGUGUCUGAGCUCCUACAAUUGAUAAAGAUUCUAUGCACUGUGGAUAAGAAAGAUAUUAAUUGCAGUUACUAUCAAAUGUAACAUUUACAGAUUCAUAUCUUGUCUAGCUACUUAUCUAGCUUCGUCAUCAAACUGUAUACCUCUAUUCCUCCUAUCAUGGCUUUAUAUCUGCAUUAUAACUGAGGUAUAUGUGUAUGCUACCUGUCAACACACAUGGGAGUUGCCUGUCAUCCACAGCUACAAAGUCACAGCUUAUCUAGCUGUGCUGUAAUAUAGUCCCUUCUACUUUAUAGCACUGUCAGACUUCUAACACAUUUCCUUUCCCUUAUGAGUUGAAAAGGUAAUGAUCAAUAAUACCUUACCACUGUGUUUCUGAGGUAUGUUAAGGCUCUUGGCUGAGAUAUUUUAGAGAUGUGCAAGGCUGAGCUUCUGGAAAAGGGUAAUGCAAUUUUCAUGAGAUUCUUUUUUUUUCCGCAGUGAAAAACUCUCAUCCUUCAUGCAUCACAUUUUGCACUUUUCAGCAGUAGAACAUUGUGUCUUUAUUUUUGCUAUUGCUCACUGAAACACACAGGAGCCUGAGCAAAUUAUAUGGCAUUUCUGAAUCAGUGGUCAUUUAAAAGUUGUCAGGGUAUGGACUGAAAUAUAUACCACAAAGAGAGACACAGUCAGGUUCUCCCUCUCCAACUACUCUGACUGCUCAGUUCCAACUCCAACCAUCUUGCUCGUCUGCUGUCCAGCCACCUAGCCUGUUGUUUUCUUUAAACAUAUUUCUGGUUUCAGCAGUAGUCACCCAGUCUGUGGAGAGCUAUGUGACAAACAAGAAUCUCCAUUAUUUCAACUGCCCACCCCUUUUCUCUUGUUGAUGUUUCCUCAAUUGGGGGCAUGGGGAGGGCCAUAAAUCAGUAGUAGAGCAUCUGUUUUGCAUGUAAAAGAUCCCAGGUCCAAAUCCGUGUUAUCUCCAAGUAGGGCUGUGAGGUACUGCUUUGAAAUUCUGGAGUAUCACUUCCAGUCAGUGUAGACAAUACUGAAAUAGAGGAACCAAUGGUCUCACUGAAUAUAGAGCAGCUCCUUAUGUUCCUAUAAUAGAGGUGGUGGUUGUUUGCAGGAUUAUACUGGACACAGUUUUCUGGGAUUGGGCUGAGCCACCUACACCCAUCUGCCUGCCUUUUUAUUUACAACUAGCCCAGAGGGUGGCAAGCCUGUCACCUUCCUCCUCCUUAAACCCUUGUACAGGUAAUUGAGUUCUAUAAGACAUCUGGUUGGCUACAAAUAGUUAGCUCUGCCUGUAAUCACCUCUGCCUCUGUCUCUUAUUGGCUCUGACUACUGUUGGGCCCUCUGUCUUCCAUCCUACCAGUCCUGAUGGGCACUGGGUCUAGCAGCAGCUGGGCUCUCUAAUUUAUUUGUUUUACUUAAAGUACAAGUAGUCACUUGUACAACAGUCACUUCUUUUCAUAAGGACAAACUUUAAGGAUAUACAUAUUACAGCAUUCAGUCAGCAGCUUCACUUCCUAGCUUCUGUGCUUGAACUGGACGUGUAACUAAGGUCUCCCCAGUUCACUUUUCUUUUGCAACAAUAAUGUCACAUUAGAAGUACAGCAUUCACUUAUUUUCCCAAUGAGAGGGAAAUGAAGAUAGGAUGUUGUUGUAUAAGAAUAGCAGCAAGUGUGGGCAACCGCUGCCUGUUGAUCCCAACUUUGAAAAAACACAUCCAUUGUUAAAUCAAUGCUAUAUGCAAUUUUAGACCCAUCGUAAGUACUUAUAGGGAAAUUGUUGCUUUUUUGUGGUAUGGAUGAUUUCCUUUGGAAUAUAUUCAAAUUGCUAAAUAAUUUUUGUCAUGGUGGAAACUGAAAUCUAAUUUUAUCAGUCAAAGUGGUUGUGGUAUAGAGGAGCUAGACCUGCAAUGUUCCAAGGAGAAUAAUAGCCUGCCUAGGGACAAAUUGGAUGCUGAGACCCUGCCUUAAAUAAUAAAAUGAGAGAUAUACCAGGCUUCCUUUUCAAGAAGUUAGGGAAUAAGUGGGAAGGGCUUAAACCAUUUAAAGCUGAUAAGUUUUUUCAGAGGGGAAGCAGAGUGAUGAGAAUAAGAAGCAAAUAGUUCACUGAAAUAAUAAAGAAGACAUUGGGCUAUUGGACUGGUGGUCUGCAUCACUUUUCUGCUUGAAGUCCACAGGCUUUAACACAAAUUAAAAACCUGUGAGGUUUAGACAGUAACACUGAUCAUUCUUCCUGGGAAACCUGUUAAAUGGAGAACUAGCAGUAGUAGUUCUUGUAUUUCCCAUUUUCAAAAGUCACAAAAGGUAUGUUCCUAAACACGCUUCCACGGGCUCUGUUCCACUGAGAUCAGUGGGAUUUAUUUUCAUGUAUCAAGGUUGGAGUCAGAAGGGUAGUAGAGAUUAUGUGGAAUAAAAACAUAAUAUACCCAGUCUUUAGCAGUAUAUCACAUUCUCCUAAAGUUUGUAUCUCAUCAUUCUGAAUCUUUACAUUCCUUUAUGUAAUCUUGAACAGCUGUCCUGCAUGCGUGAUUCCCAUCAUGUCAUAUAGACUUCUGUGUGGUGUUUUCUCUGUGUCACCAGUACUAUAAUGGGUAGCAUUACUCUUUAGGUGGUUCUGAUGGGUGAUGUGAAUAUUUUACAUGCCAGUCAUAAACACCUCUAGGAACAAUCUGAAACUUCUUCCACGCAGUGUUUCGAAACUGGAAAGCAGGAAAGUUCUGCUGCAUGGUGAUGUUGGAUUGUGUGAUGUUGAAUUCCCCCACAACUCCACUGGAACAUACAGUCAUACAACUCCUAAACAGGACACUGAAGUGGCAGAGUCCAAAAACAAUUUUUCAGCAUGAUAAUAGUUAUUUUUCCCAUGUACCCUUGUUCUUACUUUCUUGAGAAAUCAGAUAAACCAAGGCUAAUAAUUAGAAAUAAUCUCCUGUGUGGUUGCUUGCUCUUUCAAUAUUCCAGUGUCUACUGAAAUUAUACUGGCUACUCAUACCCAAUCAAACUGGGUGAUGUGAGAUGAAGAAUGACAAAGUUGAAUGACAUAAUUGGUAAGAACUAUAGGGUGGCUAGAGAAUUUCAUUCUGUGUGAGGACAUUUAAAAAAUAAGUUUGUGGCAUAGUGGUUAGAGUUUCAGACUAGGACCUGGGAAGCCGCGGUUCAAAUCCCCACUUGGCCAUGAAACUUAGUGGGUGGCCUUGGACCAGUUACUGCCUUGCAGCCUAACCUACCUCACAGGGUUGUUUGGGGGAUUAAACGGGGAGGAGGAGAAAAUCCUGCAUGUUAUCUUGAGCUUCUUGGAGAAAUGGUGGAAUAUAAAUGCAAGAAAUAUAUACAUUACUAUAUUUAAAAUGAUUAAUAUGACAUGACAUAAUAAAAAUGACCAAGAUUUCAGGUACAUUAGUUUAAAAGACCACUCUUUCUAGAUGCUGAAGAGUGGUUGGAAUUUCAGGAGGUAUUUCAAGGCCACAUUAGGCUUAUCAAUAUUUGUUUCUAUCCUAUGAACAUCUCUCUUUGAUCAGUCUGGGGAGCAGAGCUUUUUUUAGGAAGAAGCUUCUUGCUCAUUUUGAUAGUGCCUGGAAAUGUCUGAGCAUAUGUUCUGAGACAAUGAAGUUUCAGCGGGAUGGCUUUUCCUUUGAAAACUCAAUCCUUGGAAGACCCACUUGAAACAUGUGGCAGCAGGAAAAGUGAGUCAAGAAAAGAAGAGAAGGAAAGACAUUUAGCUGAGAGAUGUUGCAAAGGAUUGGAGCUAAAUCUUGUAAACACUGCGCCAUUAGAAACUGAUGAGGACAAUAAAGAACAAGGAUUACCAUACAUCCACUGGAGAGGUUUCAAUCAACAUCUAAACAGUUUCAGGGGAUUUCAUUUGAAACAGGGAGCUUUCUCAAAUAAGCAAUCAAAAUAAUCCAUUAGGGCUGUAAUCAUAGUCAUGUUUUUCCAGUGCGGUGAUUUUGGCGUAAGCUGAGAGGGUAAAUAUUUUUAAAAUCACUCCUUUUUUGACUUCAACCACACAAUUGUGUAUUCUCUUUCCUGAGUCUUAAGGAAAAGGGAAUAGUUCCUAAAUAAUUAAAUGGUCUCUUACGGAAAAGCCACUAAUGUGUAUAAAACUGUCUAAGCCCUGUGGAUAUCAUCUAGUAAACAUUAGUAACAACUAAAUGUUGUGGAAACCAAUGAAGUAGAAUGCUUGGUCACAGCAACUUAAACUUUGCUGUAUUGUGUCCUGUCUGUUUAAAAUAAGCAGCACUGAAACUAGGUUACCAGUACUGUAGAAUGCAUAUUUUGAUAUGAAGACAAUGGGAAAAUAUGGAUAUUUUAGAGGAAUAGGUUUCAUAGAAUCAUAGAAUUGUGGAGUUGGAAAGGAGCACAAGCGUCCUCUAGUCCAACGCCCUGCAAUGCAGGAACCUUUUGCCCAACAUGGGGCUUGCACUGACAAUCCUGAGAUUAAGAGUCUCAUGCUCUGCUUUCACCUUUUUGAUACUCAGGAUUCACUCUCAGCCCAAACAUGCAUUUGAGGACUCACUUCUCUCUCUCUCUCUCUCUCUCUCUCUCUCUCUCUCUCUCUCUUUUGGUCAUACAUUUCUAUGGUGGAAGUGCUGCAGCAGCAGCCCACCUUAGAUCACCUGGUAGUGAGUCCCCUGUUGACAUGAAAUGUUCUAGGACACUAAUACAGCGCUUGUCUUCAGUUUCCUCAGUGUGAACAACCUGUUUUCACUUUUGAAUUAGUUUAAUUUACUUAUUUUUACAAAUAAAUCUAAACAUCUUCCAGAUCAUUUAAAAAACAUAAAGCAGGAAUAAGCCAAUCUAUGAUGGGACCACAGUUAGACUACUGUGAACUAAUUUGAUCUUAAGGAAGCUAUCAUGGAACUGGAGAAGGUUAAAAAAAGAACCAGCUAAUGGAGGUUAGUGGUUAGAUGUUGAAGAACAACUGAAGAUGGGUGAGCGUUUUUGUUUUUUUUAGUUUUUAUAUAUACUUUUUAAAUGAAAGUGGUUUAUAGCAUUAUGAAUGAUGCAAAGUUAUGGCCAUUAGUUUAGGGCAAGGUUUCCCAAACUUGGGUCUCCAGCUGUUGUUGGACUACAAAUCCCAUCAUCCCUAGCUAGCAGGACCAGUGGUCAGGGAUGAUGAGAACUCUAAUCCAAAAACAGCUAGAGACCCAAGUUUGGGAAAGGCUGGUUUAGGGUGACCUUGAAUACAUGGAAGAGUCAACAGAGUGAAUUUUGAACUAUCCCUGCAAUGUUCAAGCAGUGACUUGUACUUUUCCCUGGUAGUGAGACUGAUGACUUUCUGCUGAAGGACAACCUUUCAAAUCUCAAUCUCACUAUAGCUUUAGUUGCAUAAGUUUUUUGUCUGAACUUUAGGAGAGAAAGGAGUGGAAAAAGAACUUGGGUUAACUCUGCAUCACACACACACACACACACACACACAGGAACUUACCAAGAGUGUGCAAAAGCACUUGUGUGUCUGUUAUGCUCUUUUGAGGAACAAAACUGCUCUCAGAUUAGUCUAAUCUAUGGAAGAUAACUGCUAAUGAAUAUUAGCCAGAAUAACUACAAUAGAUACUCCCUGUUCAAUGAAAGGUUUCUAAUAAUUGCUGUGUUUAUUAGAAAUGGAAGGGGGAGUGCAGAUGAUGAGAGGAUCAUGCAUUGUAUCAUACCCUGGGUACUUGGUCUGAUGCAGAAAGGCAAGUUUUCAAAAAGCUGUGUCUUAAAUAUUUUAAAACAAAGAAAAAGAUAUUGUGGAUAUCUUUUUAACAAAGGAAAGAGAUUGCCAGAAAAUCCCUUUCCUCCCGAAGUGUCAUGUGAUUUAAGAAUCCUGGAUUAAUCAAAAUACCUGCAGUCAGUCAGAAUUCAUUGGAUAAACUACCCAUAUAUAUUUUUGACAUACAUUUCUGUAUGGUACUGUCAUAAACAAUUUCAUGGUUCGGUAGUGAGGAGGCAUCCAGCUUUGGUUACACAAGUUUUUUUUUGUGACCUUUAGAAGAGAAAGGAGUAUAAAAUACAUGAAAUCGAGUGAGGUCUGCACCAUGCACAUGUAUUUGUGCACCCUCUCUCCCCCACGCACAUGCAGAUAUACUCCCUGAGGAACAGAUUCCAUUUGCUGUUUAGGGUGACAGAGCAGGGUGCAUUUGAAGAAGGGCAAACAUAUCAGGAAAAGCGAAUUGAAAAAUGCCUCUCUGCUAUACUGCUACUUCUGCUCCAGAGGGAAUGAAUAUAACAUAUCUGAAAUCUGGUCCUCAGUAGUAAAAUAUACCACUUUUUAAGAAAGCUUGUUAUACAUAUUGUUACAGAAGCUGGGUGCCACUCCCAACUGUGCAGUAGCAAGUUUCCAGGGGGUUCCAGGUGCUCACCCAGGAUUUGUGCUCCUUUAGAGAAUUGAAGACACGGUGGAGACUGUCGUAGCUUUAGAAAUAUUACUUAUUCACAUAUUUACACCUGAGUUUAGAUAGAGGGGGUCCAGAUCUUAUGGCAGGGUUAUCUUAAGCAGGACUUGUUUCCCACAGCACUGCAACACUGGAGUCAAAGGCAACUCAUGCAGCCAGCCUUCAGCCAGCCUGCCCAAUAUGGAUCUCAGUCUUUGUUCUCUCCCUUCCUCUUCCCAGCACACCUUGCUAAUGACACUCUUUUCUUGUCACCUCAAACACACCCAGACACCACCAUGGCAACUUCUGUUUGCCCAGCCUCAAGGAUUCCUCUUAGAUGGGCCAUCAACCCCUUUUGUCAUGUUAACUCCUCUGUCCCAGGUGAGGCACUGGCUUGGAAGGAAGCUUAGCCUCUAUUUUUCCACUUGCCUGUGAAUCUUUCCUUCAAAUACUAGAUUCUGACUGACAUUCAUUAAUUUCUCCCUCCCCCCAAAAACACACACAUAAUGUCAUAGAUGAGGAACAGUCUCAUCUCAGUGGCCAAGCAUCUGCUUUGCAUGCAGAAGAUCCCAGUUUCAAUCCCUGGUCUCUCCAGCUAGGGCUGGGAGAGACUCUUGCUUGAAACUCUGGAGAAUCACUGUGAAUCAGGCAAUACUGAGCAGGGUGGACCAAUGGUUUUAAUCAGUGAAAGGGAGCUUUCCAAUUACAAGUGACAACAAAAGUAUAGCAAAUAUGCUUAGGAGAAACAGGUUACAAUUAUUCCUCAAAUAUGGACCUCUCCAUGUAGCCUUGGUGAAAUCAGAUGCAUCCAGAAAACACAUUUGCUGGGAAGCAACAAUGGGAGAGAGCUAUUGAAGUCCUAGCCAAUUUGUGGCCUUCCCAAAGGCAUCCAGUUGGUCAAUAUGGUUGUUGGAUUAUAAGGACAAGAAGCAGAACCCAAAUCCAAGACCUACCAUGAUUUUGCUUAGUGCGGCAUGUGUGUAUGCUAAAAUUGCCCCACAUUACUUUAAUCACACCACUUAAAAGAUAGCCCAUGUUUUACUGCAUUGGUAAGAUAUAUCCAGGAUGCAGGUGGGUUAAACCACAGAGCCUAGGACUUGCCGAUCAGAAGGUCAGCGGUUCGAAUCCCCGUGACAGGGAGAGCUCCCGUUGCUCAGUCCCUGCUCCUGCCAACCUAGCAGUUUGAAAGCACGUCAAAGUGCAAGUAGAUAAAUAGGGACCGCUCCGGCGGGAAGGUAAAUGGCGUUUCUGUGUGCUGCUCUGGUUCUCCAGAAGUGGCUUAGUCAUGCUGGCCACAUGACCCGGAAGCUGUAUGCAGGCUCCCGCGGCCUAUAGAGCAAGAUGAGCACACAACCCCAGAGUCGGUCAUGACUGGACCUAAUGGUCAGGGGUCCCUUUACCUUUAUGAUUUAUCCAGGUCAGUAUUGUGUAGACUAACCAGGAACAAGAAAUUCCCCACAUAGGGAAUAAUUACUGAGUUUGUCUUAUUGAAGGUAAAGAGGUUCCUGUUGCAUCACUACAAUUUUCUUUAAACAGCCUGCUUUGCAGGAAGUGAUGAAUGCGAUCAGACGGUGGAGCUGAUUAACAGGAAAACACAUCUUUCUACCUGUCGUGUUAUGUCUAAUCUGUAGUCAUUUGGAGAUAAUUAGCAAUGAGUACAAAUUUCUGCAUUCUGUCUGAGCGCCACACAAUCUUUGUGCUACUAUCUGAUAAAAAUAAAGUUUAUUUUUAUGAUUCAUAAUUAAUCUGAGGUGUUGUGCUGGGAAAAGCCCUGUUUCAAUAAAUGGAGUAACAGAGAUGGCUACCAUCUCAACAUUCAAGGAGAUCGUUGACAUGGUUUCAGAACAGCAGAGUAUAUCACAGUGAUAUAAUUCUUUCAUUGAGAAAUCAUUCACAUAUGUAGGAAAUGGCAGUUGCUUUCUAGAAAAGCCAGACAAAGACUUUGGACUUUCUAUCAUUCUAUUAUUUGUUUCCUCGGUUUCUCUGAAUUUAACUGCUUAAAUCUUCAGAUUGCUUUGGAAAUAUAUGCAAGCUUGUGUACAUGCCAGAACUGUAUAUCGAAUACAUGUUAUGAUUUCUGGCCUUUGCUGGGCAAAUUCUCUAUUAGCCGUGGGAGAUGUGGCCUAUGCUGUGCCAAUCCCUGCAGUGUAUUUCGAUGCUGGCUUUGCAUUUCUCUAUCUGAAGGGAAAGAAAAACUCGUAGGUUAGCUAUGGCAACGUUUCCCACUACUGAUAGGCUGAGCUUGGCAGAGAAACAGAAAAUAUUCCUCGGUGGUGUAUAUUACAUCAAGGGACAUAGCCAAGUGGUCACCAGUGCUAUCAAUGGGAGGUUCCCUAGUAAAUGUCCUGGCACUGCUCUGAUAACAUAUGUGAGCAAGUAAAUGGUAAUUAACCACGGCAGUUAAGAAAUCACAGGGAAUUGAUAGCCUUUCAGAACUGUUUGGCAAACUAAUUUUUUUUUUAAUCAUUUCACAAACACAAAAGAUAUUUUAAAAGGCCCUUUGGCUUCUGUUCUCAUAAAGCAAGGAGACACUAUCAUUCUCAUGGAAAUAAAUAUGUGUGGCAAAUUUACAAAGAAAUCAAUGCUCUUAGGGUAGCUUCACAUAUUGAGAACCAGUGUUCCCAGAAAGCUGCCUAAGAUGGAAUGUGGUCCCCAGGCUGUGCCCCUGGAACUUUAAUGACUAUAUUGUGGUGUCUUAAUCUAAUUUUUACGUAUGCUGUUCUUCAUUUAAUUUAAAUCACAUAGGAAAAGGUAUGGAGUUAGAAAAGCAUUCCCAAAAGCUCACAAGAGAAGAAUAGAUGUGGAAAGGAAAGGACCAGCUGGUGAUUCCUGCUCUAGAACUGUCUUUCAUUCUCUCCCUGAGAAACGUGCAACAGUUCCUGUUGUAGCGUUUAUUCACACUCUUUUGGAAAAUGCUAAAAACUAGUGUAAUUCAAGACACUGCAUGAUUAAAAGCGGUUGGACUCCAUAAUAUUUUCCAUGAAGUGAGACAAGCUGUCUAUUUGAAGAAUCUCAAUAAAUCACAAGACAAGGCAUUCUUCAGACUAGCCUAGAUCAAAGAAGUUCAGAUGAUCCUCAAAACAUUUUUUAUAAUUUUAAUCUAUGAAUUUUAUGGUUCACCCAUCACUCCUUGUGACACCUGUCAACCCUUGAAUUAUCAUGAGCUAAGAUGAUCUUAUUGCUGGGAUAAUGUGGAAGUUAUUGCUUCUGAAUACAAUUGUUUCCAUCAGAGAGCUGACCUGGAACUCUGUAGGAAAUUACCUGCCAUAUUGCACCACUUGGAAUCAAUACUGUAAUUAAAGGUUUUUUUGGUUCUGAAGGGAAUUGAUAAAACUGAUACAAACACAUUUUUCACUAUUGUACAGAAAGAGAAAGAAACAGAAGAGGAGCAUGAUCUGAACGCUGAGAAACAGAUUGCACCAAGAAACUGGCUCCCAUGGGGGCUUUGUGUAUGGUGUAAGGAAAAUAAAAUGGGAGGUUUAAGAUUGGUUAUUAGGAGAAGAUAUCAGAGCUGCAGGAAAAAAUAAGGAAAAGAAGGAGAAAUAGGAACAGUAUAUUAUAAAACUAAUCUUUGGGGGAGGCUCUCCACCCGCCCAAACUUCUAAAUUGCACCUAUUUGUUGUGAGCUGCGUAACCUGCAGCAAAAGUUGCAUUUUUCUUAAUCUGAAAUAUAGUACACACCAAAUUCAUUGCUACUGAUACAGUCAUUGUUGAACCUUCAAGCAGGCAUUAAAGCUAGGGCUAUGCAGCCAUGGCUUGGCACCCAAAAUGAAUAUUGCACAGUUGCCACAUAUAUCAGGCAAGAUUUCAUGAGAUUGGCGAUGCACAGGAAGCGGUUAUAGGUCAGUGGUUCAGCACAUGCUUUGCAUUCAAAAGGUCCUCACUCUUCAGAGUUCAAGGGGGCAGGGAUGAUCUUUGACUGAAAUCUUUGCAAGAGAACAACCUGCCUUAAAUGGAGAGCUGGCCUACAAAGAGGGGGACACACAACCCUGUCCAAUAGACAGAGAAGGCCACAGAUGCUAGCCCUGCUAUCACCCCACACUGCUUACAGCUUUGUGCAAAGAAUGUCUGUUUGAUGUUCAUUGAAAAAAGCUUCCCAUGUGUGCAGAUGUACCUAUGGAGAGAUUGUGCUUGCAAAGAGAGACCUUUCCAGAGAAACUUCAAUGUGUAUAACUUUACGUGCAGGGAACUCUUUCCAGCAGACAUCAAAUGGACAUUUGUUGGGGGAGCAUGCUGCCAGUGUACCAUGAUAGUGGUGUUCAAGCAAUGGUGAUACCAGGUACAUCUAACCCACAGAGCCUGUGUCGUUGUGCAUUCAUUCAGCAUUUGGAAGUGUACAUAUGGGUGUACCAAUCAUGAUAGCUUAAUUCUAGAGCUAACAAUUACUUCAGGAGACUGGUUUUACUGAUUUAACAAACUCUUGGGCCUAUUUUAGAAUGCUGGUAAGUAGGGGACUACUUACUAAAAUGUAUUUAAAAGAAUAAAGUUUCUAAACUGAUUAUUACUACAAUUCUGGUGCAAUAAUGUCUGUAAGGGCCAACAAAAUUUAAACCUGUGCUGUACCAUUUAGAAAAAAAAUGUCUGCCUUCUACAAUCCCCCCUCUCCCCAAUGAUACCUGGAGCAACCCACCAGACCCUACUGCAUGGCAUUGGUAUGAUUUUUAUUAUUAUACAUACAUGAGCUGUUGACCCCCCCUUUUAAACAAACAAACAAAUAAAAAUCAGAUAGUUUGCAAAUACAAAAAGAAAAAGUGCCAUAUUACAUAAUGCAUGUGUCAUAGGGCAUUGAAGAAUUUCACAUUUCUAAUUGACAAAGACUCUAAGUACUAUUGCGUUUCAACAUAUUAAAUUAAAGCAUUAUUGCUUUCUUUGAAAUAAAGCAUUCCAAAUGAAAAACUGCCCUGUUUAAUAUACUAUUUUGUACAUUUUGAACAAUGGUUCUACAUUUCGAAGUGGACUAUUUUGCACAUGUACAGGCACUAUCCUUCAGGUUCCAUAAUGUACCGAUUUUUAAAGGGGGGGGGCAGUCAAAGUGGCUUUGCAUUUUAAGAUGAUUUACAGGAUGAAAUGUGAGGUUCAGAAAGAAGGCUCCUACUGUAAAAGGAUCGGCCACUUCUUAAAUAUUCAUUUCAUUUAUUAUAUAUUUAUAAGGGAAGCAGCAGAAGCUAGCUCUAAAUAUCCAAAUCUCAAUUAGCUUUGCAAUCUUUGUCUUCCCAUAUGAUGGAGAGUUUUGAUAAAACUCCUAGCUGAAAAGGAAAGAAAAUGCUUUUACAUAAUUCCCACUUGUCUGCUGCAGUGUUCCAGCACUGCCAUCCAAAACAGCUUGCAUUUACCAGCAGGAGAGGAGGACAGCUGAUAGUCUCCUUGACAUCCAACAUAGGAGAAAAAAACAGAAUAGGACAGAACAUAGAAUGAAAACUAUUUGGAGUAUUUUACAUUGAAAUUGAAUGUAGAUGGCUACCCAGGUUCAUUUGCAGAACUAGAAAGCAGCCCAGACUGAAACAGAUUGUAUUUUGCUAUUAUUUAAAAAUGUUAUUAUUUUUUAUUGCACAUACUAUUUCAGCAUCUGGAAGCUAAUAGUUGUAAUAAUAACAACAGAACUUUCCCAAAAGCCACGACAGAGUGAUUAGUUUAAUUUUGUCCAAUUGGUAUUUAAAAGGUCUCAACACUAUGCUACUGCUUUUGCCAGUCCUGGCAACCUAAAGUAGUCUGGAACAACAGACUGACAGCAUGUGUAUGUGCCCAUGCUGAAUAUAUAUUCAAAAAGAGAAGCCUGCCAUGCACAUAAAUUGUCUGUACAAUUGCCACGGAUUUAUGGGUCAUGCUUAGAAACCAGCCUCUUGGACACUUAGUUUACAGUCAGUUGACUGGACCACACGAUUUGGCUUUGAAGUGAUUUAAAUGAUGGCAACUAAGCCCACAUUCCCAGAAUGUUCACACUCCUGUCUCAGCGAUGUCUAUGCCAGCUUCGUCAUGUCUGCAGAAUGGAAGAUGGCAGCAUCCCCAAGGAUGUGCUCUGCGGGAAGCUGGCUUCAGGCAUCAGGCUCAUUGGCAGACCAACUCUGCAUUACAAAGAAGUCUGCAAAGGUCACAUGGAAGCUGGAAACAUUAACCCCGCCGUGUGGGAAUCCAUUGUAGAUGACCUCAGUGCUUGGAGACAAUUAGUCAGGUCACAGCAGUGACCGGAGGACGAAUGAUUGCUGGGAAGAGCACAGAAAGAAGAAACGCCAUGGUGCACCUGCAUUGGCGCAACCAGACAGCUUCAUCUGCCCAAGCUGCAAAAAACAUAUCUCUCCUGUAUCAGUCUCUACAGUCACAGUAGGCACUGAAACUCUCCAAUGGUUUGGCUCAGUGGUCAGCAAACAUUUUCAGCAGGGGGCCGGUCCACUGUCCCUCAGACCUUGUGGGGGGCCAAACUAUAUUUUGAAGGGGGAAAAUGAACGAAUUCCUGUGCCCCACAAUAAACCCAGAGAUGCAUUUUAAAUAAAAGGACACAUUCUACUCAUGUAAAAACAUGCUGAUUCCUGGACCAUCCGCGGGCAGGAUUUAGAAGGCGAUCGGGCCGGAUCCGGCCCCUGGGUCUUAGUUUGCCUACCCAUGGAACUUUGGCUUCAGCCCCAAAGGCACACUCUGCCAUUGUCUCCCGAGCCAGACGGAUGCCAACUGAAACCAAAUCAAACACAGCCCUUGUCUUUUGAUUGGCCCCCCAGGGAAAUGUGAAAGGAUAUGAGAGCCAGUCAGGAAUUUAGGCAGCUAAUAUGAUGGCUUCCAUACUGGAGGCAGGGAUAUCAAGAUCUAAAGGCUCUUCAGAGUCAUUGGCAGUGUGGAGAUCUGCUCCACCAGCUCCUGCCCUGAAGAGACCUUAAAACAGGGCUUAACCCUUACAAUCAUACAGCCAGUCCACCCUGUGUGAUAAGCUCUGGGAACUUAGGAGGUGGGUUGCUGGUGGGUUCUCUUUUUCUGAUCUAGGGCAGAGAAACAUGGUUUGAGUGACCCUUUAAAUUCAGUAGGUAGAUAUGAAUGACUGGACAAGGAACUAUUCCCUUGUGACAAUGUAUUCACUUCCAAAUGAUAACAUUCUGGGUACAGUUUCAGCAAUAUAUGCAAUCUCAAAUCACAGCAGCUUUUUGUUGGUGCAACAUUUAUAACCAUGUUGCCAGAAAUCCCAGGGAACCUCCCCAAGACACGUGCCUGUAAGCAGAAUAGAAGCCAUAAAUAAUUUUUAGACCUUAUCCACAUUGGGAGCUACUUCCUUACAAUGAGUUAAGCACACAAUACUUCUUUCCCUCCCUUUUUUAAAGUUAGCAAUGAGAAAUUGUAGGUAGUUAAUUAUAGCCAGCUAGUCAGUGGUAUUUAUGGCCUAUCAGACAGGUCUGCUCAUCUCAAUAAAUCAAUACUUUUCAGUCUCUAUGGUCAGUGCUGCUAUAUGAUGUAGCUUAGUUCCAACCUUUUGAAGGAAAACAAAAUGUUAAUGUCGGAAGCAAACUUAUGCCCGGUGGGAACAACACCUGUAUUGACAGAUCAGUUCAAAUCAAAGACAGUGUAAACGUAGUCUUUAUGUUUAUAGUCUCUAUGAAAUGCGCUUCAAGGAAAAGUGAAAUUAAUAAUGAACAGGGCAUUGCUUUUAGAAAAGUCCUAAACAUUUAUAAUCGCUGAAGAUACAAAGCUGAGUGAGCUAUAAGAAGAUAGCAACAGAUACUUCCUCCUGCCCUCCAUCCCUUUGUAAAUGUAGAUUGCUGUUAUCAGUUACUUAACAAAUAAACUUUUCUGUGGGCUAAGGGGAACCUUCCCCUCUAAGAGGAAUUUUUUAUAUCUGAUUUUGUUUUUGUUAUUUCUAUUUUUAUUGUGUAAGUCACUUUGAGACACCUGAGUGCAAGAAUGUGUCUCAUAAAUAAUCGUAAUCAUCAUAAUUAAUUGUUUGAUGGAUAUCUGAUAGGCAGACAUACCGUAUUACUAUGCUUUUAGAUGAUCUAAAUGCUUCGAAAUACUUCCAGCUGGUUUUUAAAUUAUUUUUAAAGUUGAUUUUUAAACUUUUGAAAAAAAGUGUAAAUAUGCUUUUAUUUCAAAUGGCAUUAUUUUAACUGGUAGCCAUUGAUAAUUUUACCCUCCAUAAAUUUGUCUAAUUGUCACUUCUAGCCAUAAAAGUUGGUGGUCUCUUGUGGGAACAAGUUCCAUAGUUUAACUAUGUAUUGUGGGAAUAAGUGCUUCUUCAAGACAUCAGGAGGGCAAAUGUAUUCCUUAAAUGUGCUGCUGCAAAAUGUGCUUGAUUACUGUGGCUUGUGACCACAUUACCUAUCCUCCUUAUUUUGAGUGCUGUUGCUGGCAACAUAAAUUUCCAGGAAUCAAUGACAAGCAUCAAGGAAGACAUGUGCACAGGGCUAGAGCUUUUCAUUCUAAACUACCGUAUUUUUCGCUCUAUAACACGCACCCGACCAUAACACGCACAUAGUUUUUAGAGGAGGAAAAUCCGUAGGCAUGCCACCCGUAGGCAUUCCCUCCAUAACACGCACAGACAUUUCCCCUUACUUUCUAGGAGGAAAAAAGUGAGUGUUAUGGUGCAAAAAAUACAGGUACUUAAUCCACAUUUACUGUUGUUCCAUUGCAACAUACAGUGAUGAAUGAAAAUGAAUAAUGUGUAUUCCUAAAACCCCUUUAACAUAACAGUACUUGAAUGAAUACUCCAUACUGAUCUGUAUCUUAGCCACUUCUGCCGAAGCAUCGUAUGUUCUGCGCUCUCUCCCCUCCCCUCCCCUAACCUGCUCAUCUCAUUUUUAUGUAUCAUGGCAUUUUGGCUUUGUUGUGAAAUAAUCAGCCAAUCAAAAUCAUUCUAGCAGGAAGCCAUUGCUUGGUAGCUUUGACCUUUAACCCACAAACUAUGCCUUUCUCCCCAGAACCUAUCCAAAGAGAGACAGAGAUAUUGGAUGUGAUGGAUUAGAUUUCCAUUUCACUAUGAUCACUCAUGGAGUAAUUUCUAGGAAUUGAGAAGAUUUUGGUAAAAUGAGACUUUUAGCAAGGGUUGGUUGAGUCAGAUCCACCUCUGGCACCUUUAUGAGGGUAAGGGAAGGUGCCUGAACUUGCUUCUGAGAAGCAGUCCCUCCUUACGAAAACUGUAAGAGUAAUGGGCUCCUUUCCUUGACCUCCCUGGAAAAGAAAACGGAAUAGUUGUUGAACUUUACAUAUUCAGGCAUCCCUGUGCCUGAAUAAUAGAAAUCAUUCUAUAUUUUAUUUUUUACAUUGAUUAUUCAGAGCGCAACCUUACCGAGCUGCCAAAUUGUAGCUGACAAAGAUGUUCUCUGGGAAAUAUAUGCUAAAGAAUCGUUACUUAGUCACAAAGCAUAUCUUGUUGCCAUCAAAAUUUUAAAUCACGACGCAGUCCCAUAACUGGGAACAAUGAGAAGAAUACCUAAAGCACCAGCUGCUUGUUGCUUGACAGUUCCAUAGGGGCUGAAGUGCAUCUGGCUUCAACCUGUUGGCAACACUUUACCCAAUGGGAUAGCUUCCAUUAACAUCAAUAGAGUCAGAAUUUCACCCUUUAAAUGAAGGGGGGAAAUGAUUUACGGAGCCAAGAAUAACUGAAUCCAUAAGAAGCUUUGUCUUCCCUAGUGGAGCUACUUCACGUCGUUUGACACAUAGAGCUCUUGCUCCUUGGUUUUCAAUUAGAAAAGGCACAUGACACUUUACGGUUCUUUCACUGAAAGUCACUCUCUUGUCUUGAUCAUGCCUAAUUAACAGCAGGGGCGGUGUGUCCUGUUUUGCUGCCUAAGGCAAAGCAGAAACGUGCCACCUCACUACUGCACCACUGCAUUGCUGCACCACCAAGUCCUCUCUUACCUGGGUUGUGUGGUGGUGCUUUCAAAGCAAUGGCAGCGGCAGCAUACUCUGCCAAGAUCUGUGCUCUGCCAGAUCUCAUAAGAUUUUGGCAAGAUCUCAACCUCAUGUGUGGGCUGACUCUAAUUAAUAGAUUUAAUCUGCUGAAUUGGGAUGGGGAGGAGUUCUAUGGUGGUGGUUCUGCUACAUCCAAACCCUGCUCCUUUGCUGUGGCCAGGUUGGAAGAAGGAGAAAAAUGCCUGAUCUUCCCUCACUUUUCAACUAUUUCCAUUGCUUUCGUUGAUACUAAUGUUGUUGUUUAGUCGUUUAGUCAUGUCCGACUCUUCAUGACCCCAUGGACCAGAGCACGCCAGGCACUUCUGUCUUCCACUGCCUCCCGCAGUUUGGUCAAACUCAUGUUGGUAGCUUCGAAAACACUGUCCAACCAUCUCAUCCUCUGUCGUCCUCUUCUCCUUGUGCCCUCAAUCUUUCCCAACAUCAGGGUCUUUUCCAGGGAGUCUUGUCUUCUCAUGAGAUGGCCAAAGUAUUGGAGCCUCAGCUUCAGGAUCUGUCCUUCUAGUGAGCACUCAGGGCUGAUUUCCGUAUAUUCCUGGAGGAUGAGGCUCUCAAAUGGCCACUAGUCAUGAUGGUGAUGGCUUUGUUCUCCUUCCACUGUUAGAGCCAGUAUGGCUUUGAAUACCAGUUGCUGAGAAUCCCAAGUGGGAUGAGUGCUAUGUUUGCUUGCGGGCUUCCCAUAGGCACCUGGCUGGCUGCUGUGGUUCCAAAGCUCCUGCCAACAGCAUGCCCAAAUAACACCUUUUCACCCCAGCAGUAGGGUAAGAUCACUGACAUUACAUCUAUGCCUGUGGAGUUUUAUCUGGGCAGAGCAUGGAGUUUCUAGAGGCUUAAGUGCCAUGCCAAUGACAGAUCUGCCUUUCUGGCAGUGAAACAGGAUUUAUGCUAUAUCCAAUGGCACUGGGGGCGGGGCUUGCAUGCAUAGUCAAGCCCCCUCCACACUUUCAGCCCUCAUGUUUGCAGGCAAAUGCCUGAAUCAAGCCAUUGUGACCAUUCAUUCACACUGAGCUGGUCCAAUGAGUUCAGGAGAGCAACAAAACUGUAUGCUUUAUCUGUAUAAAUAAUCUACAUUUAAGCCUUAUCAUCAUCAUCAUCUUCAUCAUCAGACAGGUUACAACAUUAAUACACAAUAUUAAAAACUGCUUAAAGCAACCUACAGUCACCAAAAAUAAGGUUGGUCCUAAAAAUAUACACCUCAAGUUUCAAAAGCCAGGGUAAGGAGAUGAAUAGGGUAAAAAGGUGCAUUUUCAGCAGUCAUUGGAAAUUGUACAAUAGAGAUGCCAGACACACCUUUGUGGGGAGUUCCACAGCUUAGGGGCCACCAUGGAGAAUGCCCUUUCCCCAGCUGCCACCAUCUGAAUCUCAGUAAGGGUGGAGGAACUACCAAGAGGGCACUCUCUGCACUCAAGAGGGUCUGUAGGGAAGAAGGUGGUCUUUCAGAUUUUUCAGUUAUAUGGGGAAAAUGUCACUUUUCUUUUUUGGGUGCUGCAAACUAUUCAGAAUACACUUAAAUAAAUGGCUUAGAAUGCUUAUUUUAGGUAUUUAAAUUUCAUAAAAUUACCAUUUCACAGUAAAGAAAAGUAUUUAGCUAUAGUUCAUUCCUGGCCAGCUCACAACUCCCACACCCUUUCAAAAUGAUCAUUAGUUCUUAAAACUGGUUUACAUACAAUAGUGCAGCUUACAACAUAUGCCUGGCAUCUAGCUGACAUUUCAGAGAAAACUUUGUUUAAAACAGAUAAUGAACAGUGUUUUUAUUUUUAAACUAGACCUGUCUUCCUUUGAUCUUCAACUGCUAUUUCUCAUCACAAGCCACAUGUAUCUGACUCAUAUAUGAUAUAUCACCUGAUGUUUCAUUUUCAGGAAAUAAGUAUUGGAGGCGGUGAAGAAAUUGUUCAGUUUAACAUUCAGUUCACAAGUCAGUUCCUCAAAGCUGGUACACAUGAAACAGACCCCCUUAUGGAGUCCACUUUCAGCGAUUCCCUCUGAUGGCUGCGCUCCAUUCACACAGCAAACACAGAGACGGUAAGGUUAUUCUUAUUUCCUUAUUUAUGUCACUUGAUUAUAGCAAACUCUCUAGGCAGAAAUAUUAAAAUUAUCAAUAAGAACAAUUUUAAAACAUGUCAAGAUCAUGAAAAUGAGCAGUAAAUGAGCAUGUCAGCAUCUACGGGUCUGGAUAGGGCUGCCUAAACAAAAAUGUCUUAAGCAUGCACCCAAAAGAGUGCAGCAAAGGUGUCUGCCUGAGUACCAAAGUUUGUAGGUGCUGCCACACUACAAAGGUGGAUUUCUUACAACUGUGUAAUGAGUAUUUUGUGGUACCUGUAACAGGGUCAGUUCUGCAGAUCAAAGUGGGUGCAUAUGGGUUAAGGUGAUCCUGCAAGUAAACUGGUCCAGUCCCCUGCCCACCACCACUGAAAUUGGGGCAGCAUCUUUGUAAUUCCCUGCUACCUGCCCACCUAAACACAUUCUAGCACCAUCAUCUGGUAUCACUAGUGGGCAGGCAGCAAUCACACUAAGAAUGACAAACUCUCAGACCGAGGCAGCCAAAGCACAUACAAUUUCACUGGCUGGGAGAGCAAACCAGGCAGGGGUCAGGAUGGUGCCAACUAGCAACACUCUGAUUGGUCCUCCUGUAGGUCUGCUCCCCACAUUUUGCUAUUGAAGCUGCUAGUGGAUACCAACACAACUGCAUUUUUCAGCUGCCAUGGAUUAAUCCUGUGUCAUUAAAGAUGAUCUGCAAAGAAGCUAGUAUCCCCAAUAUGAUAAGACCUUCUCCAUUGGCUCUGCAGCCCAGGUCUUAACAUUGAAAGACAUGAGCCAACCCACAAGGUAGCUUUGGAAGAGAAAUAAUUUGCAAAGCAAAAAGUCAAUAGAUAAAGUAGAUAUUGCAACAUAUAGAUCUAAAGGGUUUUAUGCUUACUGACAAUGCCCAGACACUAGAUUUAUUAGGUUAGCAGGCUACACUGUCUAGCCCAAAAGACAUAAAAUAUCUUCUGCUGUAUCUGACGUGGUUUCACAGUAUCCCCAUUGUUGUUUUUAAAACCAUCUUGGCUUAAUGUACUAUAAAUGUUAUUUCUCCUCCUUCUCUACUAAGAGCAAUCUGAUUGUCCUGCUAUAGGAACAUGCAUUUUAUAUCAAAAGGGCCAAUGGGCUUUGUUGCCUUUCCUGUUUUUAAUUUUGAAGGACAUUACUCCUAUCAGCACUGCUUCCAGGUUGACAGACAGGUUCAUUUCUGAAGUCAACACAAAAAAAG